rnacentral:rRNA from 1 species
UACGUAGGGCGCAAGCGUUGUCCGGAAUUAUUGGGCGUAAAGAGCUCGUAGGUGGCUUGUCACGUCGGGUGUGAAAGCUUGGGGCUUAACUCCAGGUCUGCAUUCGAUACGGGCUGGCUAGAGGUAGGUAGGGGAGAACGGAAUUCCUGGUGUAGCGGUGAAAUGCGCAGAUAUCAGGAGGAACACCGGUGGCGAAGGCGGCGACCUGGGUAGAUACUGACGCUGAGGUGCGAAAGCGUGGGGAGCAAACAGG